rnacentral:rRNA from 1 species
UACGUAGGGGGCAAGCGUUGUCCGGAUUUAUUGGGCGUAAAGAGCGUGUAGGCGGUUAGGUAGGUCCGUUGUGAAAACUCGAGGCUCAACCUCGAGACGCCGAUGGAAACCAUCUGACUAGAGUCCGGAAGAGGAGAGUGGAAUUCCUGGUGUAGCGGUGAAAUGCGCAGAUAUCAGGAGGAACACCGAUGGCGAAGGCGGGUCUCUGGGCCGAUACUGACGCUGAGGAGCGAAAGCGUGGGGAGCGAACAGG